GGGUCGGUAGCUCAGCCUGGUAGAGCAAUGCACUUUUAAGCAUACGCUGGAGAGAUGCAUUGGCCGCGAGUUCGAAUCUCGUCCGACCCG
rnacentral:tRNA from 1 species